GACGAACGCUGGCGGCGUGCUUAACACAUGCAAGUCGAACGGAAAGGCCCUGCUUUUGUGGGGUGCUCGAGUGGCGAACGGGUGAGUAACACGUGAGUAACCUUCCCUUGACUUUGGGAUAACUUCAGGAAACUGGGGCUAAUACCGGCUAGGAGCUCCUGCUGCAUGGUGGGGGUUGGAAAGUUUCGGCGGUUGGGGAUGGACUCGCGGCUGAUCAGCUUGUUGGUGGGGUAGUGGCUUACCAAGGCUUUGACGGGUAGCCGGCCUGGGAGGGUGACCGGCCACAUUGGGACUGAGAUACGGCCCAGACGCCUACGGGAGGCAGCAGUGGGGAAUAUUGCACGAUGGGCGGAAGGCUGAUGCAGCAACGCCGCGUGCGGGAGGACGGCCUUCGGGUUGUAAACCGCUUUCGCUUGUGACGAAGCGUGAGUGACUGUAAUGGGUAAAGAAGCACCGGCUAACUACGG
rnacentral:rRNA from 1 species